AUGAUCCCUAAGAAGAAAAACUCCACUAGCCCAAAGGAUUUUAGACCCAUCGCCCUAUGCAAUGUAAUCAUAAAAAUCAUAACCAAAAUGAUUUUUAAUAGAAUAAAACCUAUUCUCCCACAUAUUAUUAGUGCCAACCAAAGUGUAUUUGUGCAACAAAGGCUCAUAACUGAUAACACUAUGAUAGCCUUUGAGAUCUUCAACCACAUCCACAACGCGACCAAAAGAAAUAAAGGGCUCGUAGGUAUCAAACUUAAUAUGGAGAAAGCUUAUGACAGAUUGGAAUUGAACUUCAUUGAAAAACUCUUAUCACUAUUGGUUUCCCUAUGA